AACCUGAUCAAGUUGGAAGCUUGAGCCUUUUACCUCGUCUUCUGCUCGCGACGUAAUAGUAAAAGAAGUCUCCAUAGAGUGCUGUUUGAAGGAUACCCGCUAUCCAAGUCACAGGUUGCCAGUAGCCGGGCUCGGUGCUGUAGCGGUACACCCAGUUGACAGCGUACAGCGCUCGAUAAAGCCCCAGCGCGAAAAUGUAAUGACUCGUUAGGUUCUCGCACUCGCCAGUCGUCUGCAGCAUAUAGAGCUGUGGCAGGAUGGCGACCGACUCCAACCAGAGGCUGAACGUCCACAGCACCUCGAGCAACGAGUAGCGGUGCGGUGUAACGAACGCAAGCGCUGCUGCGAACGCGAUCAAGAAUUGAAUCCUGAAAGUGUCGUGGUCCUUAUCGUAGGUAUGUUUGAACUUAAAAAACAUCAAAUACAAGAUAUAGGCCGUCGUUGAGAUGAACGCUACCUUCAUCACACUGUUGUACAGGGAGAUGAACGUAACGAAUAGGUCCAGGUAGCGAGUGACGAAGACCACCAGGUACAAAAACUGAGUUUUCAGUGAGAUGCCAACGCAGGAGCGCGUAGCACGGAUCUUCAGCAAGAGCAAUACAAUCGACACAACGUGCGAGAGGUCCCCGCACAAACGAAAGAGAUUCAUGGUGUUGCUGCCGCUAACGCCUCCGCUGGCCGACCUUUCCGCAGCGGAACACGGAGAGCGUUCUGGUUGUGCUCAGACCGUAACCGGUUCAGUCUCUGGUAUCGCGAAACGGGCUCGUAGACACGUCGCUGUCUCCAGAGCUACUCGGUGUGCGUUUCCGUAGGUCGUGCGCCAGGCACUCGACACACACACACACACAGAACGGUUGUGGAUGAGCGGCGACGCCUCGCCUGCAGCUGCGGAGACGAAGCUGACGCUGGUGCGUCUCCGCGCGCCCUCGUUCAGCCAUCGUUCGGCGCUGCGGAGACGCUGGCGGCUCUAUCGUGGAACGCGGCAGGCGCGUACCCCGAAGCAACUACCGCAUCUAUACGAGCGGAGGCGGAAGCAGUAGACGGCAUGCGAGACGCGGCAACGUACCGGUUUGACUAGGAGACCAGUAGGUGAACAGGGUGUAGCACGGGCUUCUGGGUGGUCAGCGACAGGUCGGCACCGGACCCGGUGACGAUCGCGCUGCCACCCGCGAAGCGUGGUGCUGCGAGCGUCCGUGCGCUCGAGUUUCGACCAAACCGCAGCGAAACGUUUACAGUGCGGGUUUUUCAAAGGUUUCCAGUGGCGGGAGUCGCACGAAAGCACCAACAAACGCAUCGUGUGCAAACCGUGAGACCACAAGAACUGCCGCCGACGCUGCUGUGGGUAGCCGGAGCACUGCUUGGCGGGCGUGGGGCGCUCAACAGAAGCGUAGCGUUUGUCGAAUGUACUGGUACAAAAGAAGCACAGUUUGUUUGAACGAGUCCAAUGCUCAGAGGGGGUUCGCUUGCCGCUGUUAUGCUCAGCGCAGUGAAACUUGGCAUGCCGAAACCAACACACCCCAUUUUCCCUCGUUUCUCUCGCAGAUAUCGAACCCAAGGGGUGUGUCUCCUGUCAACUGGAGACAAGUCGCGCAAAGGAUUAAGGCUGUCAGUGCUGGCAUGCAAAGAACGGCUUUCCGUCCAAAAGGCAAUCUCUGUACCGUCAACAGGCGGACGAACCAUCGUCGUUG